rnacentral:rRNA from 1 species
UGGUGGAGUGAUUUGUCUGCUUAAUUGCGAUAACGAACGAGACCUUAACCUGCUAAAUAGCCCGGCUGGCUUUUGCAAGUCGCAGGCUUCUUAGAGGGACUAUCUACUCAAGUGGAUGGAAGUUUGAGGCAAUAACA